UACAGAGGGUGCGAGCGCUGUCCGGAAUCACUGGGCGUAAAGGGUGCGUAGGUGGCGCCGUAAGUCAGGUGUGAAAUUUCGGAGCUUAACUCCGAAACUGCAUUUGAUACUGCGGUGCUUGAGGACUGGAGAGGAGACUGGAAUUUACGGUGUAGCAGUGAAAUGCGUAGAGAUCGUAAGGAAGACCAGUGGCGAAGGCGGGUCUCUGGACAGUUCCUGACACUGAGGCACGAAGGCCAGGGGAGCAAACGGG
rnacentral:rRNA from 1 species